UACGGGGGGGAGCAAGCGUUGUUCGGAUUUACUGGGCGUAAAGGGCGCGUAGGCGGCGUGACUAGUCACUUGUGAAAUCUCCGGGCUUAACUCGGAACGGUCAAGUGAUACUGUCGUGCUAGAGUACAGAAGGGGCAACUGGAAUUCUCGGUGUAGCGGUGAAAUGCGUAGAUAUCGAGAGGAACACCUGCGGCGAAGGCGGGUUGCUGGGCUGAUACUGACGCUGAGGCGCGAAAGCUAGGGGAGCGAACGGG
rnacentral:rRNA from 1 species